CCUACGGGAGGCAGCAGUGGGGAAUAUUGGGCAAUGGGCGCAAGCCUGACCCAGCAACGCCGCGUGAAGGAAGAAGGCUUUCGGGUUGUAAACUCUUUUUAAGAGGGAAGAGCAGAAGACGGUACCUCUUGUUUACGCCACGGCUAACUACGGGCCAGCAGCCGCGGGAAUUCGUAGGGCGCAUGUGUUGUCCGGAUUUAGUGGGUGUAACGGGCGUGUAGCGGGGAAGACAAGUCAGAGGUGAACGCCGGGGGCUCAACCGCGGAACUGCAUUUGAAACUGUUUUUCUUGAGUGCGGGAGAGGUCAGCGGAAUGCGUGGUGUAGCGGUGAAAUGCGUAGAUAUAAGGAAGAACACCGGUGGCGAAGGCGGAUGACUGGAGGGCAACUGACGGUGAGGCGCGAAAGCGUGGGGAGCAAACAGGAUUAGAUACCCGUGUAGUC
rnacentral:rRNA from 1 species